CUUGGGGCAUUGAAUUCUUCAUGUGAGGAAGCCAUCCAGCUGUCUUGCAGAAGGUCGCUGGUACUACCAGGGUGCCAGCUCAUAAUGAAAUAGUGCAUGGAGGGGCACCUGGGGUCUUCCUCCACCAUCAAAGCUGGAAAGUCGCCAUAUAAACUAUAAUUGUGUUGGUGCAAUAUUAAACCCAACAAAAACACAAACAUAGUAUAUUGAUUUGCUCAUUGUUGGUCUGUUUGGUUUUUGAGAAUACUGAGACCAUCAGCGUUCAAACUUAUUAACAUGAUUGCCUGUUGACAUCUGUUGCAUUGGAUGUCCAUAUGUCAAAGAUCAAGGUCACAAUUAUUUUGAGACUGAAACAUUUUCUGCUCAGGAAUUAAAACACACCUUAGUCUGCAGUCAAUAAAUGACUCAUCAAGCUUCAUUGGACGAUUGCUUGUGGUCAGCAGAUGGCCUCUAAUGUUUUGAGGGUCUAAAGGUCAAGGUCACAGUGACCUGAAAACAGUUCUAACUAACAACUAAAGAAUACUUUGGCCAGCAGUCAAACAUCAUAGGAUCAUUGUAUGUGAUUAAUAGAGUUCACCUUUAGUUUUGACAGCCAGAAGGUCAAAGGGCAAGGUUACAAUGACCUUGAGACUGGCAUAGUUACUACUAAACAACAGAAGAAUUUUUAAGCUUACAGUAAUCAAACUUCAUGUGAUGAUUGCAUGUGGUCAAUAUAGGACUUCUAUUGUUUCGGGGAUCAGUAGGUUGAAAGCCAAGGUCACAGUGACCGCAAAAAUGAAAAUUGUCUCAACUCUGCUAAAGACUGCUACAGCCUACUUCCUUCAAAUGACAUAAGAUGAUUGCACAUGGUCUGGAGAUAACCCUAUUGUUUCUGGGGUCAGUACCUCAAAGUUCAAGAUAACUCUGACCUCGAUAUUGAUCAAUUUAUGGAGAGCGUUUGGACAUAGAUACGGGUUUUCAAUAUCAUAGGAUGACUUGCUGUAGUAAGUAGAUGACCCGACUGCUUUCAAGGUCAUUAGAUCAAAGGUCAAGGUCACAGCAUAAAUUAUAAGAUACCCAGUUGCCUCAGAGAGGUCAUCAUGGGGGAUAUGUAUUUUACAGAAACUUUUGGUAAAAUUCCUCUGGUCAUUAGAAGGAAGGUCAGAUUUACAUGAAAUACCCCUCCAUUCAAUUUUGAUUCUGAAUACUAUUGUUAUGCAUAUUUGGAACCUCAUGACAUUAUAAAUUCAGUUUAAGGACUUAGAUAUCUCUUUUAAUUAUACUUUUAAAGUUAAGCACCAGAGAUUAUUAACUGUUUGUUUUAUCUGUUUUCUCUUUUAAAUUUCAGGUUGGAAGUUAAAGGACUAAAGGGAGAUAACUAAUCAACAUUUCAUCACAUGCUUUGAAUAAGCAUUACUUGGAACUGUGACACAUUUUCUUAAUGACAAAACAUUAAGUGCAGAAGUUUAACUUUUGACUGUGGUUACAGCUCAGACCUAAGAUAUUUGACAUUUAGCACAAGUUUUAAAAUAAGUAUGGUGUUACCAAAACUAAAGGCUGGAGGAGUAUUUGUUAUAGGUCUUGUCUUCAUGACUGGGUUCAUUGCAUUGAAAGCAACCCUUAAUGACAAUAGGGUUCAGUCAGUGGAGGGGGAAAUGAAGAGUUUAAUAGAACAGAGACAGAAAAAAGAAGAAGUAAAAGACUGAUUUUUGUUUGUUUGUGUUACUCAACACAUUUGUCGAAAUCAUGUGAAAAUUUUAGAAGCAAGAGCUUCACUUGUAAGGGAAAGCCUGUGUGUUAUUAUGGUUUAUGGUGACUAAGCAGUUUAGAUGAUUAAUUACAUAUAAUAUGCACAAAGGCAUUCAAUAAAAUAUCAAAUUAUUUUUUCACACAGUUUCUUAACCUGAACUUCAGAUUGGUAAAUAGUACGCAUGAAUGGCUUGUCAGAAUUAUUGUCUGGGAUUGGGGUUCGAAGGACUGGGGGUCAAAGGUUUUGACUAUUGAGUAGCAAGCCAUUCAAUAACUGUUUUAUUACGUGACAUCUGAAAUAGAUUAUCACAUUUUUUAUGACACCCGAAGGUGGGUAUAUCAAAAUCGCACUGUCCAUCCAUGUGUGUGUGUGUCUGUGUAAAUUCUUGUCCGAACUGUAACUCUGCCAUCCAUAAAGGGAUUUUGAAAUAACUUAAAUGUUCACUAUAAUGAGACGACUUGUCAUGCGCAAGAUCCAAACCCCUAGCUCCAAGGUCAAGGUCACACUUAGAGGUCAAAGGUUAAAACCUUUUUCGUGUCUGGUCCAUAAAUCUGCCAUCAAUGAAAGGAUUUUGAAAUAACUUGGCAUAAAUGUUAACCAUAAGGAGAUGAUGUGUUAUGUGCAAGACCCAGACCCCUAGCUUGAAGGUCAAGGUCAGACUUAGAAGUCAAAUUUAAUGUUAACAGGGUCUGUUUCGUGUCCAGUUUAUAACUCUGCCAUUCAUUAAGGGAUUUUAAAAUUACUUGGCAUAGAUGCUCAUGGGCAUUUGUCACUAUUAGUGACAGCUCUUGUUUGCUUCAAGUUUUGACACCUCCUGCCUGAAAAACAAUGGUAUCAGCAGACUUUGUUCUUCACAUGUUAUCUAUAGAGCUUACAGAAUGUACUUAUUUCAAAUUAUUUAUUGUAAAAAUGAUUACUGGGCUUAUAUACAAUGUAUGUAGUUACGAGGGCAUUAUUUCUUACAAUCUUUAUGCAGACAUCUGAAGUUAAGACUGGGGUACAGGAACUUAAAAUAAAUGAUUAUUUAAAGGUAAAAUGUGAAGUUGUGUGUUCAGCAUGCAGCAUUCAAUGAUUUUGCAGGUACCACAUAAUAUUUUUUAAUGCUGACAUGUCUAAGACCUGGAAUUCAUGUACUUUUUGAACUGUCCAUCUUCCAGUCGCAUACUACGUUGUGUACUGCACUCCUCAAGUUGCCAAACAAGGCAUACCUUGUCAACAUCCCAUGUAUUUGGGUAUGUUGUGUUAGGGCUAUCUUGUCCAGUUUUUCUUCAGUUAUGACCCUUUUUAAACUUUACAAUAUUUCUCCAAAGUUUCUUAAUAUAUCUUUAUAUAAAACUUGGUAUACAUCAUAAACAUGAAGUGGACAAGUGUAUUGUCGAGACUUCACCUCAGUUACCUCAAGACAGUCAUGGCAGGUAGGGGCACAUAUGUUUGCUAAAAUUAAUGUUUGCAUUUGAUUUCACUUUAUCCAAUUAACCUUCAAGGUCAAUAUGAGGAUUUAUCGACCUCAUUUAAAGGCAGUAAUUAUACGUUAUAGAUAUAUAUUAAGAACGCAGGCUUCAGAUUAUAAGAAACUCUUCAAACGUAAAUAUUAGAAAAUUAAAAAAUUUUUUUAACUAGGUCUACCUGGUUGUUAGAAUGGGGUAUGUUGUUUUUCAGGCAGGAGGUGUCAAACAUACCAUUUCUGCUCAGUUACUUUAGUGGUGAUUGAUCUAGUGUUACCAAACUUGUUGUGUUGGUAGCAUUUCUGAGUCAAAGGUUGGGAUUGCAUUUAUGGUCAAGGUCACUGUUACUAAAGAUAUAAUAUGGUUUCCGGUCAGUAACUUCAGUUAGGAAUAAGAAACUUAGAUUGUAGGCAGCAUAGAUGGAGAUGACAGUUGGAAUUUAAGGCCACUGGGUUCAAGGUCAAGGUUACUUAAAGAUGAACAAGAGCUGUCAGCACCCUCAACUAUUUGAAGCCCUUCUGCCUAUAUUAGCCUAGUUUACAAAAGUUUAAGCAAAAUUUUCUUAGUUGAAAAAAGUGGAAAAAUUCUGCUAACAUGUGAGCCAGAGUUAUGAAAUUUUCCAUGUGAGGUCAUCCCAUGAUGCCAAAGACAUGUGGAGAAUCUGAAAACAUUUGGUCAAGUUUUACUUGUUGGUACGCCGUAAAACCCAAAUAAAUUGGUAAAGUUAUUCAUUCGGACAAGUAGUUCUAGAGAUACCAGCGUACAUGCAAAAAUUUAACCUGAAAUUCUAAGUUUAAAAGGAGUAUAAUUUUCAUAAAAUAAAUGUUAGAAUUGCGUUACACAUAUUACAACUUUUCAGUUGCUAGGAGGAGUAUUCAUAUCAAAACAUUGCAAACCUGGUUUCAUGAUGUGGAUGUGUUUCUUGUUUAUACAGCAUUUGAAGUGUGAACGCCUGUAUUGAAAGUCAUGUGUAUGCUUGUGCGUAGGUAAUUCCUGUAUGUUUUGAUGUGAAAACAAUUACAUGUAUUUGAAAUAAAGUGUAUCACUUAUCAUGUAUAAAAAAUUUAUUAGUGUCUUUAUAA